GUCCAAAUUAAAUACAGCAGCGCACCUACUUCCUUAAAAGGCCUAGGAUGUUUGGCAUGUCCCCAAGAACUCUCCACAACUUCUACAGAAGCGCCAUAAAAAGCAUUUUAUCAGGAAGCAUCAUAGCAUGGAUUGGGAACAGCUCCAUCCAAGACGGCAAGAAAUUGCAGAGAAUUGUGGACAC